GUGAGUCAUCGAAUCUUUGAACGCACAUUGCGCCCGCCAGCACUCUGGCGGGCAUGCCUGUUCGAGCGUCAUUUCAACCCUCAGAACCCCUUUGGGGGAUCUGGCGUUGGGGAUCGGCAGUCCUGCCGGCCCCGAAAUAUAGUGGCGGUCUCUCUGUGACCUUCCCUGUGUAGUAGCGAUACCUCGCAGCGGGAUAGCAGUUUGGCCACGCCGUAAAACACCCAACUUCUCAAGGUUGACCUCGAAUCAGGUAGGAAUACCCGCUGAACUUAAGCAUAUCAAUAAGCGGAGGA
rnacentral:misc_RNA from 1 species